rnacentral:lncRNA from 1 species
GAUUCAGACCCUGUCAGUGUACCAGGUGGACAUUGGGUUUGAUUCAGACCCUGCCAGUGUACCAGGUGGACAUUGGGUUUAAUUCAGACCCUGCCAGUGUACCAGAUGGACAUUGUGUUGAUUCAGACCCUGUCAGUGUACCAGGUGGACAUUGGGUUUGAUUCAGACCCUGUCAGUGUUCCAGGUGGACAUUGGGUUUGAUUCAGACCCUGUCAGUGUACCAGGUGGACAUUGGGUUGGAUUCAGACCCUGUCAGUGUGCCAGGUGGACAUUGGGUUUGAUUCAGACCCUGCCAGUGUACCAGGUGGACAUUGGGUUGAUUCAGACCCUGUCAGUGUUCCAGGUGGACAUUGGGUUUGAUUCAGACCCUGUCAGUGUACCAGGUGGACAUUGGGUUGGAUUCAGACCCUGUCAGUGUGCCAGGUGGACAUUGGGUUUGAUUCAGACCCUGCCAGUGUACCAGGUGGACAUUGGGUUGGAUUCAGACCCUGUCAGUGUACCAGAUGGACAUUGGGUUUGAUUCAGACCCUGCCAGUGUACCAGGUGGACAUUGGGUUGAUUCAGACCCUGUCAGUGUUCCAGGUGGACAUUGGGUUUGAUUCAGACCCUGUCAGUGUACCAGGUGGACAUUGGGUUGGAUUCAGACCCUGUCAGUGUGCCAGGUGGACAUUGGGUUUGAUUCAGACCCUGCCAGUGUACCAGGUGGACAUUGGGUUUGAUUCAGACCCUGCCAGUGUACCAGGUGGACAUUGGGUUUGAUUCAGACCCUGCCAGUGUACCAGGUGGACAUUGGGUUUGAUUCAGACCCUGUCAGUGUGCCAGGUGGACAUUGGGUUGGAUUCAGACCCUGCCAGUGUACCAGGUGGACAUUGGGUUGGAUUUCCUCCAUACAGAUUUUCUCCAUGUCCUUGUUUAAUUUAGUCUGUCUUGUGGACUGCCC